rnacentral:misc_RNA from 1 species
GUUUCACGGGAGUUAUCGAUUUUUGCAAUACCAAAUUUUCUUCUUGAUAUAAUUUCGGCAUCCUCUGGUUAAUUCUAAUUUUUUUUUUAGUAGCUACGAAUUUAUGCAAUUUUUUGAGAUAAUAAUUGUGUUUCUUUGAGUUAAAUGAUCCCUUGGGUUGGAUUUUUAAAGAAAUUUUACAAAUUUUUAGUUGAAGCUAAUUCUCUCUGCCAACCCCUUUCUCCGAGUUUUCAUUUUUAUGAUGUAUUUGUCUAUUUUCUUGGAUUUUUCAACUAAAUACUAUAUUUUUCACAGCCAUAUAUUUUCCCUGUAAUUACUGCAUACCGUAGGAAUAAUACCCUUUUUAUUUAGUCUUUGACUGUAACAGCGUAAACUGGCCUCAUUCUUGUCUGAACAUACUUCUGGAGUAAACAUAGAAUGGUGCUUCCUGUAGCUAGGAUUUUUCAAAAUUUAUGAGGCAGAAAAAUGUCAUCAAAAUUUUUGCCAAAGUUUAGUUUUAUGUGCAUAUUAUGCAUUUACUGACAUGUGCUGUGUUCUCGUAAUGGAAUGUGGUGUAGAGGCUUGGUAGGAAAUGUCAUUAAGAUGCAAAAUUAUUAUAAGCAUCAAGAGUUUUUAAGGAUGUCAUUUCCCCCACUUAAUUCUAAUUUGAAAUUGGUGAUGACUUCCUUCUUAACAUUUUGUUUGUAGGAGUGACAGUUCAUCUGACAGU